GAUAGCAUAGCUUAAUUUUAAAGUGCAGGAUUCUUACUCUUGUGAUAACCGACUGUUUGCUAGCA
rnacentral:tRNA from 1 species